AUUGAACGCUGGCGGCAGGCCUAACACAUGCAAGUCGAGCGGAUGAAGGGAGCUUGCUCCUGGAUUCAGCGGCGGACGGGUGAGUAAUGCCUAGGAAUCUGCCUGGUAGUGGGGGAUAACGUCCGGAAACGGGCGCUAAUACCGCAUACGUCCUGAGGGAGAAAGUGGGGGAUCUUCGGACCUCACGCUAUCAGAUGAGCCUAGGUCGGAUUAGCUAGUUGGUGGGGUAAAGGCCUACCAAGGCGACGAUCCGUAACUGGUCUGAGAGGAUGAUCAGGCACACUGGGACUGAAACACGGUCCAGGCUCCUACGGGAGGCAGCAGUGGGGAAUGUUGGACGAUGGGCGGAAGCCUGAUCCAGCCAUGCCGCGUGUGUGAAGAAGGUCUUCGGAUUGUAAAGCACUUUUAGUUGGGAGGAAGGGCAGUAAGUUGAUACCUUGCUGUUUUGACGUUACCAACAGAAGAAGCACCGGCUAACUUCGUG
rnacentral:rRNA from 1 species